rnacentral:tRNA from 1 species
GAGGGUGUAGCUCAGUGGUAGAGCGCAUACUUAGCAUGCACGAGGUCCUGGGUUCCAUCCCCAGUACCUCCA